UAUAUACAGGGUGUUACGGUACAGAGUCAAUGUGGAGGCUAUAUACAGGGGGUACCGGUACAGAGUCAAUGUGGAGGCUAUAUACAGGGGGGUACCGGUACAGAGUCAAUGUGGAGGCUAUAUACAGGGGGUACCGGUACAGAGUCAAUGUGGAGGCUAUAUACAGGUAAUACCGGUACAGAGUCAAUGUGGAGGCUAUAUACAGGGUAUUACGGUACAAAGUCAAUGUGGAGGCUAUAUACAGGGGGUACCGGUACAGAGUCAAUGUGGAGGCUAUAUACAGGGGGUACCGGUACAGAGUCAAUGUGGAGGCUAUACACAGGGGGUACCGGUACAGAGUCAAUGUGGAGGCUAUAUACAGGGGUUACCGGUACAGAGUCAAUGUGGAGGCUAUAUACAGGGGGUACCGGUACAGAGUCAAUGUGGAGGCUAUAUACAGGGUAUUACGGUACAGAGUCAAUGUGGAGGCUAUAUACAGGGGGUACCGGUACAGAGUCAAUGUGGAGGCUAUAUACAGGGGGUACCGGUACAGAGUCAAUUUGGAGGCUAUAUACAGGGGGUACCGGUACAGAGUCAAUGUGGAGGCUAUAUACAGGGGGUACCGGUACAGAGUCAAUGUGGAGGCUAUAUACAGG
rnacentral:lncRNA from 1 species